UGCGGGGUUUCUCUCGGUCCUUCGCACCCUUGCGGCUGCGUACAAUUUCCACAAUCGCGUAGAGAGAGAGAGGUGGGUUUUUUUCGCUAGGUUAGGGGCUGGCGACGGCGAAGAUAACGAUGAUAAGCCCCCAAGAGCGGUCAUCCUACGGCCCUCAUCGUGCUAAUCUCAGCCAUGGUGCCAGUAGUAUCCGUGGCAGAAAAAACUGGAUUGGGCGGUUUUGGAAAGUACGGGCUGAGUUUUCAUAGCUUACGCGGCCUCCGUCUCAAGCUUUGAGCUUCCAAAUCGAAAGCUUUCACGGUUUGAGCUGGAAAAAUAUGGAUCUAUAGUUCCUGACUCGUGGCUUUUCUUUGAGGUCGAGUUGGUUUCUAUUAGACGGCCAAUGUAAGGAAUUUACAGUCCACAAGGUAUUCGUCAACUGGUUUGUACUUAGAGAUGUCGUCUUUGUUCCUAAAUUUCUGCUGGAUAUGAUUAUAUAUGCUUUGGUUAUAUGAAUGGUUGUAGUAAAUUUUCAUAUACACACACACGUGUGUGUGUCAUGCAAAGAGGAAGUCACCUGGAUGAUUGCUUGAGCGGUAUACUUUCUCUUUCAUUCUUUCAUAAUCAACUCUUUUUUCCUAACCAAUAGCUCUAAACUUACAACAUAAGGCUCAUCUCUUAAGUUAUAUAGCUUUCCUUUGUACUUGCAUUCAUGUAUACAUACAAACAAAAUCCAGCACUUGCUACUCUUGACUCUGUCUUCCGUUGCUUGCAGUUUUCUCCUCAACUUGUUUCUUUGGUGGAAGCUGAUCGAACACAUCAUCAGCAUCAUACAAAGCAUCUUUGAGUUGCCAUAGUCAUUCGUUCAGUCCUCCAAUGAUCUUUUGCUACCCACUCUCCGCUAUCUCCACAACAACUUUGAUAUGAGGAAGAGCUUUUUUGUGCCUCUCAAGCUUAUCUUUCAUCCCACUAUCCUGAGCAAAAUACUUAUUUGCUAAACAGUUUAACCCAAUCCCCACCAUCUUCUCGAUAAUAAUGGUCACUCUGACCACCACUAUAUUGAUAUCAUAUUGAGCAUGGUAUCUUGCUUAUUAGCAGCAGAUGUAAAUUCGGCAAGUUUGAUUGCAGAUAGCGGUAGAUGAACAAAUUUUCAAAACCAACCCCUUUCACUAUUUAUUUUUAAAAAACGUUCGCUUUUGCAAAAAAUUUU